UUGCCCUAGUACGGCGAGUGAAGCGGCAACAGCUCAAAUUUGAAAUCUGGCUCUCGGGCCCGAGUUGUAAUUUGUAGAGGAUACUUUUGAUGCGGUGCCUUCCGAGUUCCCUGGAACGGGACGCCAUAGAGGGUGAGAGCCCCGUCUGGUUGGAUGCCAAAUCUCUGUAAAGUUCCUUCGACGAGUCGAGUAGUUUGGGAAUGCUGCUCUAAAUGGGAGGUAUAUGUCUUCUAAAGCUAAAUACCGGCCAGAGACCGAUAGCGCACAAGUAGAGUGAUCGAAAGAUGAAAAGCACUUUGAAAAGAGAGUUAAAAAGUACGUGAAAUUGUUGAAAGGGAAGCGUUUAUGACCAGACUUGGGCUUGGUUAAUCAUCUGGGGUUCUCCCCAGUGCACUUUUCCAGUCCAGGCCAGCAUCAGUUUUCCCCGGGGGAUAAAGACUUCGGGAAUGUGGCUCUCUUCGGGGAGUGUUAUAGCCCGUUGUGUAAUACCCUGGGGGGGACUGAGGUUCGCGCAUCUGCAAGGAUGCUGGCGUAAUGGUCAUCAACGACCCGUCUUGAAACACGGACCAAGGAGUCGUCUUCGUAUGCGAGUGUUCGGGUGUCAAACCCCUACGCGUAAUGAAAGUGAACGCAGGUGAGAGCUUCGGCGCAUCAUCGACCGAUCCUGAUGUUCUCGGAUGGAUUUGAGUAAGAGCAUACGGGGCCGGACCCGAAAGAAGGUGAACUAUGCCUGUAUAGGGUGAAGCCAGAGGAAACUCUGGUGGAGGCUCGCAGCGGUUCUGACGUGCAAAUCGAUCGUCAAAUAUGGGCAUGGGGGCGAAAGACUAAUCGAACCUUCUAGUAGCUGGUUUCCGCCGAAGUUUCCCUCAGGAUAGCAGUGUUGAACUCAGUUUUAUGAGGUAAAGCGAAUGAUUAGGGACUCGGGGGCGCUAUUUAGCCUUCAUCCAUUCUCAAACUUUAAAUAUGUAAGAAGCUCUUGUUGCUUAAUUGAACGUGAGCAUUCGAAUGUAUCAACACUAGUGGGCCAUUUUUGGUAAGCAGAACUGGCGAUGCGGGAUGAACCGAACGCGAGGUUAAGGUGCCAGAGUAGACGCUCAUCAGAACCCACAAAAGGUGUUAGUACAUCUUGACAGCAGGACGGUGGCCAUGGAAGUCGGAAUCCGCUAAGGACUGUGUA
rnacentral:rRNA from 1 species